UACGGAGGGGGCUAGCGUUGUUCGGAAUUACUGGGCGUAAAGCGCGCGUAGGCGGACCUGCAAGUCGGGGGUGAAAGCCCGAGGCUCAACCUCGGAACUGCCUUCGAUACUGCGGGUCUCGAGUCCGGGAGAGGUGAGUGGAAUUGCGAGUGUAGAGGUGAAAUUCGUAGAUAUUCGCAAGAACACCAGUGGCGAAGCCGGCUCACUGGCCCGGAACUGACGCUGAGGUGCGAAAGCGUGGGGAGCAAACAGG
rnacentral:rRNA from 1 species